rnacentral:tRNA from 1 species
GCCUGGCUGGCUCAGUUGGUAGAGCAUGUGACUCUUGAUCUUGGGGUUGUGAGUUCAAGCCCCACAUUGGGUG